rfam:Chelonia mydas contig195712, whole genome shotgun sequence.
UAGGUUAUGGUAUAAUGGAAGUAUGGGGAGUUUUGAUCUCUGUAGUAUAGGUUCGAAUCCUAUUUUUCUAA